UAAAAACCACUCGUAUAACGAAAACGACCAAGUCUGGAAGCUCUUCAACACCAGUUACCCGUAAAACUUGUGAUAUCGAGGAGAUCUGGGACGAAGAAAUUUUAAAGGAAUUGCUUGAACAGGCCACUACAUACGAAGAACGCCGGAAGAUACGCGCGCGUCUACGAGAUUUAAUGGCGGAACGUGAAGAUUGAUUUUAGCUAGGCAAGAGUUUGUCUUGAAUUUUGGGUAUCCAGCCAUUACAGUAUUUUAGGUAUAUAUAUUAAAUCGGUUGGUAUACAAUGUAUGUAUGUAUGUUAACGUUGAAAUCCAUUCGAUCUACAUUUUGUUCACAUCACUUCAAUGUAUUGCGCCUCAUUCACUUCAGUCCUUACGUUUUUCUAUUACCGUCACUUGCUGUCUAUUUCUUCAUAUAUAUAUGUAUGUAUGUAUUCUCUCAUACUUUCACGUAGUACAAAAUUUGUGUUCUCGAUCAGUUCGUUUUUCGUUC